rnacentral:rRNA from 1 species
GACGAACGCUGGCGGCGUGCCUAAUACAUGCAAGUAGAACGCUGAAGCUUGGUGCUUGCCCCGAGCGGAUGAGUUGCGAACGGGUGAGUAACGCGUAGGUAACCUGCCUGGUAGCGGGGGAUAACUAUUGGAAACGAUAGCUAAUACCGCAUAAUAGUAGAUGUUGCAUGACAUUUGCUUAAAAGGUGCAAUUGCAUCACUACCAGAUGGACCUGCGUUGUAUUAGCUAGUUGGUGAGGUAACGGCUCACCAAGGCAACGAUACAUAGCCGACCUGAGAGGGUGAUCGGCCACACUGGGACUGAGACACGGCCCAGACUCCUACGGGAGGCAGCAGUAGGGAAUCGUAGGCAAUGGACGGAAGUCUGACCGAGCAACGCCGCGGGAGUGAAGAAGGUUUUCGGAUCGUAAAGCUCUGUUGUAAGAGAAGAACGAGUGUGAGAGUGGAAAGUUCACACUGUGACGGUAUCUUACCAGAAAGGGACGGCUAACUACGUG